UAGCUCCUUCAGUCAAUACCUUUGCAUUCCUAUUUUAUAUUGCAUUAUAUUAAUAGUUACUGGUCAACAUUAUGUAAUGAUGUUCCUGAGUCCUUUAGUGUCUUUGCCUUACUUACUUGAUUCUCCUUGUUUGCAGUAGACUGUUGCUGUUUUCCUGUAAUGCGUUGUUCUUCUCCUGUUUAUUUAUACUAUCUAGCAAGGCCAUGGAGGAAUUUGGUAGACAUUUGUUAAUGAGUAGCUAGCCAUCCUGAGUUAAUAGACAAUGAUAUGAAUUGAUGGACUCAUUGAGAAGGUGCCAUAUUGUAUCAUUUCUGAUUACAAAUAAACCAAAAAAUUGAACUAAGAGUACAUAAUAGGUUAACAUUUCAUGUAGCUAAAUUAAGAGAGGCCAAAAUAUCAAAGGGAAAGUUGAAAGUCACAAGGAACCACCCUGGGUCUUAGCUCCAUCAACUGUGUCUCAUGGGAUGGCAGGUAAAUUAGUUAUUGUUCUUAACAGCCUAGAUUCUUUACUUGAGAAGACAGGGAUAAUAAAAAUCAGGAUAACAUCUGAUCUUCAGGGCGCUGUGAGGGUAAUAAUGUUAGGCAAGUAUCCAGAGAGUGCCUGGCACAAAACAGCCACGCAGGUGCUGCCUGUUGCUUCCUUCCUGAUGGAGGGUUAUUGAUAAACAUCGUGCAUAAUAAGAUUUCCAAGUAAGCCUGUUUCCUCUCAAUUAUUAAUGAUUACCUGGAGUUCUGUUAAGGAGAAUCAGAGAUCUCUGGACAUGAGUUUGGGUCAUAAGAAAGCGGUGGUGAGCUGUGGCUGGCAAGCCUGUGCUCACAGGGAGGAUGUGUGAGUUCAAUGCUAGCUUCUCUUGGGGCAGACGUAAGGCAUUUGAGCUCAGUCUUUCUUUGAGCUCGACUGUAUCGCUUGAUUUAGGUUUGCUGUUCUGGUUUUUAAAAUUUAGUAAUAGAGAAGAGAGUACAUAAGUAGAAGACCAAAACUGUAUUGUUACCAGAGUUCCAACCGCUGCUGACUUUUCUGGCUCUACAAAAGAGGGUCAAUGAGAUAUAUCUCCAUGAGAGGCAACAUCCAAAUCAUCUGCCAGGUGAUCCCACCUUGUCACAAAGGAUUGUGACUGACAGCAGAAAGAAAGCAGGCAUGAGAAAACGAGAUGCAGUCAAGAGCUGACGAUCACAUCAAAAAGGAAAGAAAGAUGUUCUAUACAUUCAGUGAGAAGUCAGCCUGUGUUUGCAUAAGCAUUUCUGUCACUGCCAACCCAGCUCUGAUGACAGAGUGUGAGCUUCUGUGCUGCUGGUACCUUUGGGAUUCGUGCUGACUCGUGACAAGCCUAGGAGGGCCACAGAAAGAAGGAUGUAAGGAUGUAAGAAGGAUGACCUUCCAUGUCUUCAAGAAUAGUUGCGUUUUAAGAAACAAUGAGACUUCCAUGUCCUGAUGGCAGUCGAUGUAGAAAUUCCUGGCAUUUGGCAACAGCAUGGAAUCACAUUCUGUAGUAAUACAAAGAGUCUGGCUUCUGGCUUCUCAGGUAGAUUCAACAAUGUCAGCUCUCCUGGUAACUGCUCUAAAAAUACAUUUUAGAGUCAUAAGAAGCCCGGUUUUGACCCCUCACUCUCUUACCUGUGUAGACACCCAGAUAUGCUCCAUGCACUCUUGGGUGUGAGAGUGAUUCCCUGUUCUCCCAACCCUUCCCCAGCCACGCCCUUUGUGCUGCUCCGCAAUGCUUGGCUCGGGAGGAAACUGUAUUUCCCAGAUGCCCUUGCCAGCGAGUUCCUGUGACAUCUGCUCAGUGGAUCCAAAGGCAGGUCAGGGGAAAGGCGCUGUCAUUUUCUCUUUUCUACCCUUCCCUCUCUCCUGCUUCUGGAAGUGUCUGUGAUCCCUUCUCCAUGCCACUCCUCCGUGACUGGGAGGCAGUGCCUUGGUGGUUUCUACCCACUCAGUCGGCCCAUCCUCAGGGGUCCUGGCAUGCACUCAGCACUCAGAAGUUCUGAUAAAGUACUUUCUUGAGUUUCCUGAGUCCUGGGGGCAGUAGCUGUUUCCUACAGUUUACCAGGUGAUCUAAUCUCAUUCUAUCCCUUUUUUCUUUCUUUUUUUCUCUUUCUGCUCUGCUAACAUUUUGUAACAGAUUUCUUAUAUUCAGUGCACUCUUAAGAAGUACCUAAUACAUCUUGUAUGUGGUGGGAUUAAUAGUACUUUAAAUAGUACACACAACCUGCCUGUAAAAGGCCUGAAAAGAGCUGUGAAAUAAUUUAUACUCCUUUUCUUAUUGAGUCCACAUUUAGGAAUCUAUCCUGUGAAUGAAAUCAGAGAUGGUCCUGGAGAUUUUAUGAGCAUGGGUUUUCAUUGGUGGGUUAAUUUUUAAUAACAGAAAAAGGAAUUACUUGUAGAACAAUAGGAACCAUUAAAAUACACUCAUACAAAUUACAAUACACAUACACAUUAAGAUACUGUACCAUUAUUAAAAAUCACAUUUUCAAAAGAAAAUGUUCAUAGCAUAAGCGAAAAAACAGUGUAUUAGCCUGUCCUCACACUGCUCUAAAGGACUGCCCAAAACUGUGUAAUUAAUAAAGGAAAGAGGUUUAAUUGACUCACAGUUCUGCAUGGCUGGAGAGGCCUCAGUGAA
rnacentral:lncRNA from 1 species